rnacentral:rRNA from 1 species
GACGAACGCUGGCGGCGUGCUUAACACAUGCAAGUCGAACGGAAAGGCCCUUCGGGGUACUCGAGUGGCGAACGGGUGAGUAACACGUGGGUGAUCUGCCCUGCACUUUGGGAUAAGCCUGGGAAACUGGGUCUAAUACCGGAUAGGACCACGGUCUGCAUGGAUUGUGGUGGAAAGCUUUUGCGGUGUGGGAUGGGCCCGCGGCCUAUCAGCUUGUUGGUGAGGUUACGGCUCACCAAGGCGACGACGGGUAGCCGGCCUGGGAGGGUGUCCGGCCACACUGGGACUGGGAUACGGCCCAGACUCCUACGGGAGGCAGCAGUGGGGAAUAUUGCACAAUGGGCGCAAGCCUGAUGCAGCGACGCCGCGUGAGGGAUGACGGCCUUCGGGUUGUAAACCUCUUUCGCCAGGGACGAAGCGCAAGUGACGGUACCUGGAGAAGAAGCACCGGCCAACUACGUGCCAGCCGCCGCGGUAACAC